rnacentral:lncRNA from 1 species
GGUGUAACACUUUUCAGAGUACUGUACCAGAGGGCAUGCUGCGGAAGUCAGAUCCAGUACAGUCCAGUUGCUUUCCUCCUUCCGUACCUUACAUGGGCCCAAGGGAUGACUUCCCUCUUGUACUGCAAGGCUUUGUGCACUAAGCCAGCUCUCUGGCCCUGAGCAGCCUCUGCACUGUGAAGUCCGGGUGUCGUGGCUAUUCAGAAACUCACGUUAUUCCUAUUGAAAGAUUAUUAAACUCUCGAUUUGGCUGCAGGGUGAGGUCCUGUAGUUCCAAAUUCCUGAAA